rfam:Gossypium raimondii chromosome 2, whole genome shotgun sequence.
AAUCCAUGCAUCAGAGAUUUCCAAAUUAAAUCUUUAAAUUUUUCCCAAGCUUCAUGUAGCAUUUCAUCCUCCAAUUGUCAAAAAGAUGUAAUGUCGUUUCUAAGCUU